rnacentral:misc_RNA from 1 species
AAAUUUAUAAAAUAUUUCAAAUUCGCUAAAAAAUAAUGAAUCUGAUAUAUAUAUCUCUCUCUCUACAAGAUUCAGUACCAGUUUGGUAUUUAUAUUCAAGGGAAGAUUCUGAAGCCAGAAACAACUAACCUUGGAAGACCUCCCAAUGUACAACUAAUUACCGCAUAAAAUCAAAGUUUAUUCCCAAUGUACAACUAAUUACCACAUAAAAUCAAAGUUCUUCAGAAUAAAAUCACAUCAAGAUUGUUGUCUCCUUGAACUCGUUUGAGGUACUACAGCAUUUGUUGCACUGCACGUUCUCCUAAGAAAUUUUGGUUUAAACCAACUCGAAGAGCCAUUGCUUGUUUCUUCUACAGCACGGAAACUACCAGAAAUCCCAGGAUUGCUUAAAACCUCGACUGCUUCUGAAAUUCCAUUACCCCUCUGAAACAGAAUUUAAGCCAUUGAGAUGCCAUAGAAGGGCUGAAAUAAGUAGUUAUAAUGCAAAUUGAAAAUCAAGGUCAACCUGCUGGGGGGUGGCUGGGGUAGCUCUGUGGAAGGGUCGUUGAACCUAAAAAAGAUCCAAGUCCAUUUAAUGGAUAAGGGCUUAUUAUAAUCAGGUAAAAGAGCUGUCUUCUAGUCUACAAAAAAGAUUCUUAAACGAAGCCCUUGGCAUUAACUAAAAGUCACCAAGAAUUAAAGUCACUAAAAACAAUUCUUUAAAUUUCAGAUAUGGAAGAACACCAUGGAGGGGUAAACUUAAGAAACAUGAUCAAUUAUCUCUCAUUGAAUCCCACAAAAUAUUUCUUGCAUAUGAGCCCAAGUAAAAGAAUGAGAUUAAAUUUUCUGGAAGUCAACAAACCUCCAAAGAUCCGCUGGAAACAGAUGGAGAAGUUAGUUCACUUGAUGGAGGCGGCAAAGAACCCUUCUGUGAAAGCACAAACACAAGCUAUUAGCUAACAACAUUAAGAACACAGCAAGCACUGUAGUCAUGACAUUUUAAGUUUGUAGCCAAUGAAGUGAUAGAACAGAGUACAUUAAUUGGGAUAGACAUGCAAAAUGCAUUCAGUUUCAUAUUACAAAUUUCCAGUUCUGAACAGACCUUGUGACCAAGCAAAGAAUAAUAAUAAUAAUAAUA